CCUACGGGUGGCAGCAGUGAGGAAUAUUGGUCAAUGGGCGGAAGCCUGAACCAGCCAAGUAGCGUGCGGGAUGAAGGCCCUACGGGUCGUAAACCGCUUUUGCACGGGGAUAACACCCUCCACUUGUGGAGGUCUGCAGGUACCGCGCGAAUAAGGGCCGGCUAAGUCCGUGCCAGCAGCCGCGGUAAUACGGAAGGCCCGAGCGUUAUCCGGAUUCAUUGGGCGUAAAGGGAGCGUAGGCGGGCGUUCAAGUCAGCUGUAAAAUCGCGCGGCUCAACCGCGCCCCGCAGUUGAAACUGGACGCCUUGAGUUCACAACAGGUAGGCGGAAUGUAUGGUGUAGCGGUGAAAUGCUUAGAGAUCAUACAGAACACCGAUUGCGAAGGCAGCUUACCAAGCUACUUCUGACGUUGAGGCACGAAAGCGUGGGGAGCAAACAGGAUUAGAUACCCUGGUAGUC
rnacentral:rRNA from 1 species